rnacentral:rRNA from 1 species
AACGACUCUCGGCAACGGAUAUCUCGGCUCUCGCAUCGAUGAAGAACGUAGCGAAAUGCGAUACUUGGUGUGAAUUGCAGAAUCCCGUGAACCAUCGAGUCUUUGAACGCAAGUUGCGCCCCAAGCCUUCUGGCCGAGGGCACGUCUGCCUGGGUGUCACGCA